rnacentral:tRNA from 1 species
GGCGGGGUAGCUCAGUGGUAGAGCAAUCGGAUCAUAACCGAUUUGUCGUGGGUUCGAUCCCCACCCCCGCUA